CAAAGUAAGUGUAUGUACUACAUUUUUUUUUUUUAACUUUGUAAAAAACUUUUUGAUGAGCUGGAACCAAUUACCCAAUAUCCCAUUGAAACAAUGGAUUCGGUUAACGAAACGUAUCAGCUCUCCCAAAACGAGUGUCUCUGUACAGGUGGCCAGGUUUUUUUUUUUUUUUUCACCAAAAUCUACUGACCCAUGAUCCUGGACAAUGAUGAUGGGAUGUAUAGAUUAUCAUGUUUAUCUGAAAGACCCAAUAGACUUUAAGCUCUAGUGGCUGGACAGAAUCCUCUGAGCAGAUCUACCCUUGGAAUUAUUUCAUGACCCAUUAGUUGCUACAGGUCAACCAUAAUAAUUCAGGCUAAGUCCCUACUUUCCAGCCUACAUCCUGCUACAAAAGGGAGUACAGUAGGGGGAGUAUUUGAGGCACCAGGCACCAAGCUUUGUUAUAAAAUGGAGUUCAGGAUUUAUAACCCUAUGCCCGUUACUGGGCGACUCAAGUAACUAAUCUAGAUUGGAAAUGAGAUGAGGUGGAACUUAUAUAAUUUUCAAAAGCUAAUAUGACAUGUACCACAUGUACAGGGUAAAUAAUAUAUAUUUUCUUUACCUAUGAGUCACAGUAAUUCAAUUUUACGUGGCAGUUUAUCUCGCCCAGAUUUUGCUUGGACAGUUGCGAUAUUUGUUGUUGAUGUUAUGUAGAUGCUUCAACUGCCAGGGUCUUUAAACAUAGUUAAUACACUAGGCAAUAAAGAGUUUGCAGAACUUAAGGAAGGUAUACUUUGUGUUAAUUUUUAGAAUAUAUUAUUAAACAAUAUUGCUCAACAGAUUGUUCCCAUAUGACUGUACUGUAUAUCACUAUUUAGUUUAGAUAUAAGGUGCUAAACCAGACAAUAAACAAAAUCCUGCACUUAUCUUGUACAGGUCAAACACUUGUCACCAGCUUGUAACAACUGCUGCCACCGGCUAUUAAUAUUAGCUCAGAGAAAACAGUGAAGGAUAUGAGCUAAUGAAAAAUAUACAUUGCCCAAGCAAAGUACAGUACAUGAUAACAAGGAAUUACCAAGCAACUAUACAGUACAGUACUGUGAAAUAUUUGGAUGACAGUAUCAAACAAAUACCUGUAUAGAGAGCCUGGGUGAUUUAGGAGAAAAUUACAACUAGGACACAUCAAACCCUACAAGACAAUCCAACACAAAGAUGAAGCCAGUAUAACAGCAAACAUAUUUGUCAAAACAGCAGUAUCUGGCAACUACAUCUUAGGGAUGGUGUUUGCACCAUGUGGGGUGGGACCGUUGGAGCUGAAUAUGAAUGCCGACCGCUGUGUGACAAGUAAGCUGGGUGACUUUUUAAGGUGAUGUUUUAUAAAAAACUCGAGUCGAGCAUCUCGCUGCCAUACUUUUUUCUAGCAUCCCUCGUAGUUUUGCAGGUAAAAGGCUUUCAGAAGGGUAGUAGAAAAAAAUGAAGUUAUAUCCCAAUCCCAUGCUUGAUAAACGAAUAUUUGUGUAGAAAAAAAAGAGCAGCUAGUCUGUUAACACUUACAGUUCUUCUGUGUGUAGCAUAUUCUGCACAUGGCUCAUUUUCUUGCUUAAAAAAUGUUUUACUUUUAUAAUAAUAGGAAAGGCAUUUGUUGCUCUAAAUAAUUAUUAAUUUAAUAAGUAUUCAUAGAAUUUAGAAAUUUAGCCAUUUUUCUUUUCAUAAGUAACGAAUGAUCAUUGAAUGGGAAUCUUCAAUGUUUUAUAUUUUAUUCUUUGAUGCUAAAAAUAAAAUACCUUCAUAGCAUAAAUGGCAAUUAGUUUUCUUAUAAAUACUAUGGAAAAAAUCAUAGCAAUAAACAUUCAUUAAGCUUAUAGCUUCUGCAAAGCUCAAAGCUUUGUUUUAUGAGCACUUCCUGCCUUACAUUAUUGUCCAUCAAGGUGGUGAAUAUGGAAAAUAUUUGUUCAUAUAAUCAGUAAAGACUUGGCAUAAAUGUGGUGAGUAUGAAUAUCAAUUCAUAUUUUUUAUUUGAUACUCAUUUCAGCUUCACACAAAUAAUGUACACCUUUUCAUUUUGACAUCCAAUUCUAACUCUGCAAAUUACAAUAUUCCUGAAUGUCCCCAGCCAAUAAAAUCUUGUGUCAUAUUAUUGUUUCAAAAUACAUAUAUUGUACCAUACUAAAUUUUAACUACUGUACUUGAUUUGUUCUUACAAUAUUCUUAAGAAAAUCUAUUUUAGCAUUUAUUAAUUAAUUUCUGUAACUAUUUCACAAAAUUGUGUACUGCCUCAAAAAAAAAAUAAAAGCAAAAAUAAAGCAAGGCUGGUACUUUAGUUGCCAGAUAACACUUUGUGAUUUAAAUUUUCUGGAAAUCGUGACAUCACCGAUUUGGGCAACUGUACAGUACUGUAUUAUGAAGAAUAAUUUAGUUACCAAAAACUGUUGGUGAGUCAAUUUAUCACAAGACUUUCCUUCUGUGUUAUUGUCUGAACUUCUUAUGUCAAGACUCAUUAUAGAUCUUGGCUUAGCAUUUCAUAUUGUUCACUUUAUUUCAAGUUUAAUUCAGUUUCUUAUUAGUACAUGUAUAAAAUUAUUUACUGUUCUGUACAAUACUGCAUGUAUAUUUCAUUUGAGUAGCCCAGUGCCAGAAUGGGAUAAGUGCCAUUUGUAAAAAAGUGAGAAAGUUGUAUUACAGUGAAGUCAUGUCAACAUCAUUUUUUUCAAUGAAUUGUCAACCAUAUUAGCAGUGUCCUAAAGACAUAUAUACCACUUGUACCUGAUAGGGGGAAGAAUGAACUAUGCAUUUCACAAAGAAAAUGUGUUUGGCUGAUCGUGGCACUUAUCCUGUUCUGGUGUUGUGCCACUCACAUACUAUGUUUAUUAUUACCGUAUAGUUAUCAUUUACACCAAAAAAAUUAAAUAAAAUCACCAUCUGUAGCAUUUUAAUACAGUCUGGUGAUUUUUUUUCCUUAGGAAUGUACAGUGUCUCAAUUUUUAUAAUGGGAGUCAAUAGGAAAAUGUACUCAGAUUUAUGAAAGGUUUUUCAGGAAUGGAACUCUUUCAUACACCAGGGAAAGCCUGUACUACUACAGUACAGUACUAUUACACUACUUUUACUACUACUACUGUACUGUUAUUAUUACUAUUAUUAUUAUUAUUAUUAUUAUUAUUAUUAUUAUUAUUAUUAUUAUUAUUAUUAUUAUUAUGGUGCUUUUGAAACUCCAUAUCAAAGAACACAUGAGAUGAGGUAUAUUUGAAGUUCUGAUGUUUCUGAGUCCAGUAUACUGUACAGUAGUUCCAGUGUGGCAUCCAAACAAAAUCAAAAGGUAGUGAUUCUUGACACAGUAAGUGGGGAGAGUUGUGGAUGGGACAUUAGCUAAAAGGUAAGCUCUUGACAAUGUGACUUAUCAUAAGAAUUUGAAUGACAUUUUCAAGGAUUACCUGAGUAACUUCACCCCAGCGUUCCACACACUUUGCCCGCACUUCUUUGCUGAGGAUAUAUAUUAAAGACACAUUACUUUACUUCCUGAUAAUGUAUCUAAAUUUCAAAUACUGUAUGUGUGUGUGUGUGUGUGUGUGUGUGUGUGUGUGUGUGUGUGUGUGUGUGUGUGUGUGUGUAGAUUAUAUAUACGGUAUAUACUGGGUAUGUGUGUGUUGAUAAAUAAUAUUUUUGUAUUCAUUCACUUAAAUCCUCAAACAAAUUUACAUUGGUACAGCUUGUAUGUAAACAAUGAAGACAUACAAACAAUGGCAAACUAUGCUGAUUCUGUCAAGGAUAACCAAAAUAAGUCAUUAAAAAUAUAUUUUGAAA